UGCGCUCAUAGCUCAACUGGAUAGAGCAACGCCCUUCUAAGGCGUGUGUCCGGGGUUCGAAUCCCNUAGCUCAG
rnacentral:tRNA from 1 species